AUCCACCAACACUCAGGCUGGCAGUAUGCCAGGACAUGGGCCGGGCGCUUCACGCCCACGCAACGUCGCUGCUGCUGCAGACUAUCGGCUAUCUGCGCACCUGGCAAUAAUCAGGGAGACAGCAUAAAGACCAGUCGACCCUUGGAACCUACGCCGGAGCGUCGUUAACUCUUUGCAUACCCUUCUUGUCCCGUGUGCUCAAGCUCUGAGCCUCGACCUCUCUCCAGACUUUGGACUGCCUCCCUUGAUCCUCGACCCUCGUUUGGACACGGACCUUGUCGCUUCUCUCCUGCCCUCGACAACCUGCCUGUUUACGGACAUCCUUUUUGCCUCGCCCUCUUGGACUGCUGUAGUAUUCAUCCAUCACGCACUUACAACAUCCUCUGGUAUUAUUCACAUGGUUAAAAUCACACAUAGUCCUGCAACAAACACAUAGAGUAGCAUACACCUACCACACACUCAUCAAAGGUUACAAUAAACCCGGUAAACUGA